rfam:Capsella rubella cultivar Monte Gargano unplaced genomic scaffold scaffold_7, whole genome shotgun sequence.
AACCAAUGAUGUGGGCAUUGGGACUGAUAUCCCUUGAAACGCUCCCAUGCUUUACAACUCGUUAUUCUUCUAGGCAAAACUUGAUAUUUCAUUACGGAGACG